rnacentral:rRNA from 41 species
GUUGACCUCGGAUCAGGUAGGGAUACCCGCUGAACUUAAGCAUAUCAAUAAGCGGAGGAA